ACAGCUCCGCUUCUGUACAUAUAAGCACCUUCACGAGACUUAUACUAGACAUAAAAUGUUGAAAUGAACAAUACUGUAGUCGCCGUAAGAGCAAUGGUGAGAAACGCGAAAUCACCAUGCAUGAGCCAUAUAGGUCUAACAAACUGUGACACCUCGGUAGUAAGAAUGUCUGGCUCAUCACCGGAUGAUUUCAGUGUUAUCAGACACAUGAAUCUUAGCCACUCUUGAUAAGGACGCCAACGCAAUCCAACGACAUACACGAUCGAACUCUCUUAGAACAGUUGUAAACUGAUAUGAGCCUG
rnacentral:lncRNA from 1 species